rnacentral:rRNA from 1 species
UGUACACGCUGUGACUAGCAUAUCAAUAAGCGGAGGAAAAGAAACUAACAAGGAUUCCCCUGGUAACGGCGAGUGAAGCGGGAAGAGCUCAAAUUUGAAAUCUUAAAGGGUUUCCCUUUACGAAUUGUAGUUUAAAGAAGUGUUUUCUGUUGAGGUUUUGGUAAAAGUUCUUUGGAAUAGGACAUCAUAGAGGGUGAGAAUCCCGUAUUUGACCUUUACUUUCAACUUUGUGAUACACUUUCAAAGAGUCGGAUUGUUUGGGAAUGCAGUCCAAAAUGGGUGGUAAAUCUCAUCUAAAGCUAAAUAUUGGCGAGAGACCGAUAGCGAACAAGUACCGUGAAGGGAAAGAUGAAAAGAACUUUGAAAAGAGAGUUAAACAGUACGUGAAAUUGUCAAAAGGGAAGCGUUUGACACCAGUGUUGUUUUUCUGAAAAUCAAUUAAAGAACUGUUUAUGCUAAGUUGUUUAGACUUUAUCAGCUAUCUGUUUAGUUUUGAGCUUUUCUUUAAUGCACUUUUCAGUUAACAAGUCAACAUCAAUUUCUUUUGCUGUAAAAAAGCUUGAGGAAGGUGGCUUGAGAUUCGUCUUAAGUGUUUAUAGCCUCUUGCCUAUGCAGUCGGAGAGAUUGAGGUCUGCAGCGUAGAUCCUUCGGGGCUAAAUGCAUUUGUGCUAAGUUAUAGCAUUUUAUAGACAACUUGUUGACUAUGAUUUGUCUUGUAGCUUACUCGCUUAUGUUAUUUUACCUACGCUUAGGAUGUUGAAAGAUGUAGCACAUCAU